rnacentral:pre_miRNA from 1 species
GACUGUUGGGUUGAGGCUUUGGGGCAGGAGCAGCAGCAUCCAACGUUGCACCUAAGUCUGGGAAGUUUAUCGACGUUGACCCU